GGAUUGCUGGAAGACAAACAGCUGCGAAAGCGUCUGCCAAGGACGUUUUCAUUGAUCAAGAACGAAAGUAAGGGGAUCGAAGACGAUCAGAUACCGUCGUAGUCUUUACUAUAAACUUUGAGAAUUAGGAAUUGGACGUGGCCUUAUUGGUACGUUCAGCACCUUCCGGGAAACCAAAAUGUUUGCUUUCUGGGGGGAGUAUGGUCGCAAGUCUGAAACUUAAAGGAAUUGACGGAAGGGCAUCACCGGGUGUGGAGCCUGCGGCUUAAUUUGACUCAACACGGGAAAACUUACCAGGUCCAGACAUAGUAAGGAUUGACAGAUUGAGAGCUCUUUCUUGAUUCUAUGGUUGGUGGUGCAUGGCCGUUCUUAGUUGGUGGAGUGAUCUGUCUGGUUAAUUCCGUUAACGAGCGAGACCUGGGCGUGCUAAAUAGGGUACGUUAUUCUUGUAAUAGCGAUUUUAUCCUUCUUAGACGGACUGUAGGCUUUUAGCCUAUGGAAGCUCCAGGCAAUAACAGGUCUGAGAUGCCCUUAGAUGUUCUGGGCCGCACGCGUGCUACACUGAACGGUUCAAUGGGUGAGGUAGUGCGAAAGCAUGACCCAAUCUCUAAAUCCGUUCGUGCUGGGGAUAGAAGCUUGCAAUUCUCCUUCUUGAACGAGGAAUACCUUGUAAGCGCGAGUCAUCAUCUCGCGCUGAAUACGUCCCUGCCCUUUGUACACACCGCCCGUCGCUCCUACCGAUUGAGUGGUCCGGUGAGGCUUCGGGAGGGCUGAAUGGAUUGUGUUUCACAAACUGUUUGGCCUGAACUUAGUCAAACCUUACUACUUAGAGGAAGGAGAA
rnacentral:rRNA from 1 species